UUUGUAUAACUAUUAAGGCCUGAGACCGUAGGUGGUGUAGACCUUAAAGGGCCGGUAUAGGCUCGCCUACCGAGGCUGUGGUUGUAAAAGGGGAAUUUUAUGUAUUGUCUUGAAUUGGAAUCCCCUGGUCUCGGGCCAGGGGAUUCUCUUUUAUUGG
rfam:Bacterium 42_11 MPF_scaffold_1848, whole genome shotgun sequence.